UUGAGAGAAUUUCAUGAGAGUUAGAGAGAUUUCUAAGAGUUACAUUAUUGGGUGUAAUUGGGUUUUUGGUAGUGAGAGAUUGUGAGUGUUUGUAAACACUUUGUGUAAAUUUCCUUUUUUCAAUAUAAAGGUCUGCAACAGCCCGGAGACAUAGGUGGAUUUGGCCGAAUUCCGUUAUCAAUAUUGUGUGUUAUUAUUCCGCAUUUUUCACUUUCACUUUAGUCGGACAAAGGGAAAUUUUGUGUAGUUUCUUAACAAUUUAUUGUUGUUUUUAUUUCCAAUUUUAUGUUUAUGUUUUGCACAAACUAAGUUUAGGUGAUCUUUGUUAAUUCUUUUGGAUAUUUUCACCAAACCUACUUUACUGUCUCAAAUAGUACUAGAUAAUACCUAAUUCUUACUCGUGUAUAUUUAUGUCUAAUCUUAGUUAUGCAGAGAUAGUCAAGUUAGCUUGUACAUGUUUGUAGAAACGUGAAGGAGGCAGAGAAUAUUUUGUUGGGAUUUAAUGGUGACAAUUAUUGCAAGACUUUAACAAAGAAAUUUAUGGAUGAAGAUUGUAUUUAGAGAAUUUCAAAAUGUGUUGCUACACUAGCCUUUAGAUUCGAUCUGCCUCCUCCAAUCUGAUGUAAAUGAGAUGAACAGCGAUUCCCUUUCAGGGUACUUUGAAAAACCUUGUGUUAGCUUCACACAUUGCUGUUUGUUAUGGAGGUGAAACAACUUCUCUCAAAUCAUAUUGUUUUUUCAAAGGUGGGAGCAAGAGCAAAGACAAUGAAAGUUAAGCAUUUAAUG